rnacentral:rRNA from 1 species
GACGAACGCUGGCGGCGUGCUUAACACAUGCAAGUCGAACGGAGCGAUUUAUUUCGGUAAAUCGCUUAGUGGCAAACGGGUGAGUAACGCGUAGGCAACCUGCCCUCAGGAUGGGGACAACGGCUCGAAAGAGCCGCUAAUACCGAAUGACGUAACUCUUCCACAUGGAAGAGAUACUAAAGAUGGGUCAAACCAUCGCCUAAGGAUGGGCCUGCGUCUGAUUAGCCAGUUGGUGAGGUAACGGCUCACCAAAGCGACGAUCAGUAGCCGGUCUGAGAGGAUGAACGGCCACAAUGGGACUGAGACACGGCCCAUACUCCUACGGGAGGCAGCAGUGGGGAAUCUUCCGCAAUGGGCGAAAGCCUGACGGAGCAACGCCGCGUGAGUGAAGAAGGUCUUCGGAUCGUAAAGCUCUGUUGUCGGGGACGAAAGAGUAGACGAGGUAAUGCGUUUACUAAGACGGUACC